AUUUGUCAGUUUCCAGAAAAUGCGAAUGUAGAAGAACAAGUGUUUAAGUCAUUUGACCCACUGUUUUAUGUCUGAAAAUGGUUAUUCAUAAGCAAGCUGAUUCACAUAACCUUAAGGCUUUAAAACCCAGGAGAAAAAAACCCAGAAGUUCCAUUUGAAAUUGUUGCUUUUUCCAUAAGAGACAGGGUUAUGGAAAGGUCUAUCAUUAUUUGUUAGAUAAGAAAAAGUGUUCAGAGCGUGCUGAUGUGAACAGUGCAAUCCCAAAGUUUUUUUCUGCAAAAGCUUGCCUUCAUGAAGGAGUGAGUGGAUUUCAAAGCACUGGCUGGUAACUAACUACACAGCACUGCGCAAAAGGUCUGUCUAAAAAACAAAAUCUAAAUUGAUUUUGAAGCUCGACAUGCUGGUAUUUCAUCUACAGCAGGAAAUUGUAACAUAAUUUAUAUCUUACAAGAUCUCUCUUCUACAGAACUUAAAUCAUUACAAUGUGCAAUUCAGAUAUUGUGUACAAAUCUUGUUGAAGUUUCAGGUUCCAGAUCUGAAUCUUUUCUUUUGUGAUUUAGACUAUUACACCUGCAGAAGAUACAAACAUUUGUAGUGAUGCCUCAGUGUCCCAUCCAGUUUUGUACUAUAACCCUGUGACCCCAAAUACAUGCAAUUCCAUAUGUGAUCCAGUUAGCUUUAAAAAAAACACACAACAACAAAACAACCCAAAACCUAAAAAAACCAACCACACAGGGCAUGUUCCUGGUCUCCUCCUGCCCUUCCACAGCGUAGACACGGAGCGGAGGAAUGGGAUUCCCAGAUACAGCACUGUGUGCUGCAGUACGUACACUUUGGUUUAACUACUUAGAAAGACACCUCCAAGCCAUUAAAGCUUUAUUCCCUAAAAUACACAGUGUGAUCACACAUAAAAUAAGGGUCAUCUUCCUUUCUACAAUAAGAAAUAUUACAUUAUAGGAUAUAUUCUGGCUAAGAAAAGGUGAUGAAUGUAGGAAUUUUAAAAUAAACAUUUAGCAGCAGUAAACAUUUUUUCUUGCUUUCCCUUUAAUAUAUUUACAGAUUCAAAAAAAAAACCCCAAACCACAAAAGGCAGUUUACUCAAGUUUCUAACUAACCUUACAUGUCAAGAAAAUAUUCCAGGGGCUAACUUCCCUUGCCAUGAUCUCAGUCCAUUACCUCUCUCAUUGCCCAGUGCAGACACUGCAAACAGACUGAUCCCUUAAGCAGCUGCCUUACAAAAGCAGCUGCAGGGAACAAUCACAUGCUUGGAUUUCCAUCACCUUUUCUCAACCAAAUUAAGCAAUUCCCAUUCUUCGACGCUUGCUUUAUUUUCUAGAAUGUCAACUGUUCUUGCUGACUUCUCUCCAUUUGUUCCACAGAUCUCCUGAAGAAAUGGGUCCCAAAAUAAGACAGCUGUACACCCGAGGCUCACAGUACCCACAGCAGAUGGUCUAAAGACUACCCAGUCUAAAAAAAAAACAAACCAGAACCACCUGACCUUCCCUGAAAGAGUCACUUAAGAACACUGGCAUCAUUAUAAGAUAUUCCUGACGACCCCUCUCAGCAAGCUGAAGGGAAAGGAGUACAUCUUGAAAAAGUUUCAGAGCUGAUUGCGAGAUAAGAACAGAAGUUCCCCUGACAGCCUAAGAACACACUGCCCAACAGCAGAGAAGAACCACACCGGACGACAGUGUCAAACCGCAUCCCUUCUUUUCUGAUUUUAUCGCUAUUGAACAACAAGGGAUUUCUCUUUCAGAACAGGAAUUUCAGGGGACUGGUAUAAAACGUCACAAGUUUCCAAAUAACAAAUCUUCCCAGAAGAUUAACUUCCCCUCACCACCUGAAGAGCCGAAGGCCUCCAAUGUCCUAUUCUACCAACAUCAUCAGGGCUUCUGCAUGACAUUGUUGCCAAAUUAAUGGAAGUUCUCACACAGAAAUAAAAAUCUUCAGUUGGAUCACCUCCUCUAGUAUGUUAGUUUCUCUUAAAAUCAAAUACUUUUACAAAUAAAGACCAAAGGUUCUGUGUGUCUGUACUCUAGACGGUGGCAGAAUACUCCGAGUCAGAGUUUAGAUCUGUAUCAAGAAACUGAUAAAACCACAAAAUCCUGAAGAACACAAUUCAAAAUCUGAGUGCUGUUCCCCACAACUGUUAUCUCAAACUAACAAAGAAAAAGUAGUAUUUUUUUUUUCCUUUUACUUUAGUCCAAGAUAAAAGCAGGAAAUUCUGGGGGUUUAUCUGUGUGUGUGCAUGUGUAAAGAAAAAGGAUACACAGAUUACUCUAACAAAAUAGUUUUGGCAAGCACAUGAGAUUUGCAAAACAGAUCAGCACUCUAAAGAAAGCAGCAAAAGCAAAAAACCUUGCAGAAUUCUGUUUUCCAAAAAAACAGGAAUAGGAAACACUUUCUUCUCUGAGGAUGGAUAAGCUAAGGCAAACCAAGGUAGAAGAACUGCUUUACAUCUGCAGAGAAUCUGAUUAUCUGGUAAACAAUUAGUGGCAUUAGUAGUGCCAUUACUAAGAUCUAGUCCAGAGUCAUGAGUCCAUUGUGCCCAGCAUUUCACAAAGACAGAAAGCAACAAGUGCCAUGGCAAAGAUAUGCUUCAUGAAGAGCAAAAUCCCAAAAGAGAGAAGGAAGAGAAGUGAUUUCUGAGCUGAAGAAAGAAGAAUAUCUGCAAUUGAGACAGCCAUUCACAUCAGAAGAAAUACCGAAUUAUCUUUGCAAAAUUAAAAUGUUCACAUUAGAAAACUUA